rnacentral:rRNA from 1 species
AGUGAACGCUGGCGGUAGGCCUAACACAUGCAAGUCGAACGGCAGCACAGUAAGAGCUUGCUCUUACGGGUGGCGAGUGGCGGACGGGUGAGGAAUACAUCGGAAUCUACUUUUUCGUGGGGGAUAACGUAGGGAAACUUACGCUAAUACCGCAUACGACCUACGGGUGAAAGCAGGGGAUCUUCGGACCUUGCGCGAUUGAAUGAGCCGAUGUCGGAUUAGCUAGUUGGCGGGGUAAAGGCCCACCAAGGCGACGAUCCGUAGCUGGUCUGAGAGGAUGAUCAGCCACCCUGGAACGUGGACACCGUCCCGGCGCCUACGGGAGGGAGCAGUGGGGAAUAUUGGACAAUGGGCGCAAGCCUGAUCCAGCCAUACCGCGUGGGUGAAGAAGGCCUUCGGGUUGUAAAGCCCUUUUGUUGGGAAAGAAAAGCAGCAGGUUAAUACCCCGCUGUUCUGACGGUACCCAAAGAAUAAGCACCGGCUAACUUCGUG